GUUUAGGGGUAAACCUGAGAAACCCGAAAGGUCGAAGGGAGAAAUUCAUUCGCGUUUCGAAGCAGGCGUUCGGCGGUCGAGCGACGGAAAGACGUUCGCGUCUUUUCGCGCCUUCCGUCUUACGAACCGGCAACGAACGCGUGCACUUUUCUCCCGGUAGGACGUCGCGAUCCGUCGGGUGUCGGUCUACGGCUCGCGGUGGAGCCCGUCCGUCGUCGUCUCGCGACGCACGCACGGACGGACCCGCGUGUCCCGGCCGACCCGCUCGACGGUAUACGAAAGGUUCAAGGCCGCUCUCGGAGCGUUCGGCUCGCGGCAAGCGCGUCAGUUGCGUUGGCGAUCGGACCCGGUGCCGAUUCCGACCUCUGGCGACUGUUGGCCGCGAAGUUUCUCGAACAGACCUUAGAACCGAUCCGCGACGCUAUAGCUUUGGGUACUUUCAGGACCCGUCUUGAAACACGGACCAAGGAGUCUAGCAUGUACGCGAGUCAUUGGGAAUCACUAAACCUAAAGGCGCAAUGAAAGUGAAGGCCUUCCUCGCGAGGGCCGAGGGAAGACGGGCGGUUCGCCCUUAAAAGCGACCGCUCCGCAUUCCCGGGGCGUCUCGUUCUCAUUGCGAGAAGAGGCGCACCAUGAGCGUACACGCUGGGACCCGAAAGAUGGUGAACUAUGCCUGGUCAGGACGAAGUCAGGGGAAACCCUGAUGGAGGUCCGUAGCGAUUCUGACGUGCAAAUCGAUCGUCGGAACUGGGUAUAGGGGCGAAAGACUAAUCGAACCAUC
rnacentral:rRNA from 1 species